rnacentral:misc_RNA from 1 species
UGCGGGGUGUGGUUCGUNUGANAGCGUUGUGUCUUGCGGACGUGAGUGCGUGUGAGUGGUGAUUGGGAUGGUUGUGCAGUUUGGCUCCUUUCUCAUGGUUUUGGAACUUCCACCAUGCAACCCUUCUCAUGCAUGCCUAGUGCCGGUGGGCCUCGGUGUUCACUCGUGGUUCUUGUGUUGCCUACCCGUUUAGCGGUAUUCGUGUGCCGGGAAUACCCGUUCCUUCCACACCCUCUUGUGGAGGUUGUUGGGGGAUAUAUAAAUUGAUGCGUGUUUUGCGUUAGUCGUGCGUUGUAACGGCUCACGUGGCCACACGUGUUUAUUGUUCCCUUGGAUGUGGUGCAUGCGGUGGACGUGGGCUACUGUUUGUGCCCCGUUUAGUCCCUAUGGCAUAUCUGUUGCCUUCGAAAGACACUUUGCCGUAGUGCCGGCCUUGCUGUCCCAUUGGUGGUGGCAACACUUGCACGUCGUGCGUAGUCGUCAAUGGAUGCUACCUGGUUGAUC